rnacentral:rRNA from 1 species
UACAGAGGUCUCAAGCGUUGUUCGGAUUCAUUGGGCGUAAAGGGUGCGUAGGUGGCGUGGUAAGUCGGGUGUGAAAUUUCGGAGCUUAACUCCGAAACUGCAUUCGAUACUGCUGUGCUUGAGGACUGGAGAGGAGACUGGAAUUUACGGUGUAGCAGUGAAAUGCGUAGAUAUCGGGAGGAACACCUGUGGCGAAAGCACUCCGCUGGGCCGACACUGACACUGAGAGACGAAAGCUAGGGGAGCAAAUGGG